rnacentral:rRNA from 1 species
AUGCGUAUGUUGAGAUGGAUGUGUGGCCACACGAGGAAGGAUCGAGUCCGGAAUGAUGAUAUACGAGAUAGAGUUGGGGUAGCACCAAUUGAGGAGAAGCUUGUCCAACAUCGUUUGAGAUGGUUUGGGCAUAUUCAGCGCAGGCCUCCAGAAGCUCCAGUGCAUAGCGGACGGCUAAAGCGUGCGGAGAAUGUCAAGAGAGGGCGGGGUCGACCGAUUUUGACAUGGGAGGAGUCCGUUAAGAGAGAGCUGAAGGAUUGGAGUAUCGACAAAGAGCUAGCUAUGGACAGGGGUGCGUGGAAGCCUGCUAUCCAUGUGCCAGAGCCAUGA